rnacentral:rRNA from 1 species
UACGUAUGUCCCGAGCGUUAUCCGGAUUUAUUGGGCGUAAAGCGAGCGCAGACGGUUGAUUAAGUCUGAUGUGAAAGCCCGGGGCUCAACUCCGGAAUGGCAUUGGAAACUGGUUAACUUGAGUACAGUAGAGGUAAGUGGAACUCCAUGUGUAGCGGUGAAAUGCGUAGAUAUAUGGAAGAACACCAGAGGCGAAGGCGGCUCGCUGGACUGUAACUGACGCUGAGGCACGAAAGUGUGGGUAGCGAACAGG